rnacentral:rRNA from 1 species
GAUGAACGCUAGCGGCAGGCUUAAUACAUGCAAGUCGAGGGGCAGCAUGAUUGUAGCAAUACAAUUGAUGGCGACCGGCAAACGGGUGCGGAACACGUACACAACCUUCCAACAAGUGGGGGAUAGCCCAGAGAAAUUUGGAUUAAUACCCCGGAACAUAGCGAUGUGGCAUCACAUUGCUAUUAUAGAUUUUUCGCUUGUUGAUGGGUGUGCGGCUGAUUAGCUAGUUGGCGGGGUAACGGCCCACCAAGUCUACGAUCAGUAGCUGAUGUGAGGACGUGAUCAGCCACACGGGCACUGGGACACGGGCCCGACUCCUACGGGAGGCAGCAGUAAGGAAUAUUGGACAAUGGACGCAAGUCUGAUCCAGCCAUGCCGCGUGAAUGAUUAAGGUCCUCUGGAUUGUAAACUUCUUUUAUAAGGGACGAAAAAAGGCUUUUCUAAGUCGUCUGACGGUACCUUAUGAAUAAGCACCGGCUAACUCCGUGCCAGCAGCCGCAGUAAAAC